GCUUUGGUUCUGUUGGUCAGUGAACGCAUCGUUAGAAUUGUAGAUUCUGUUGGUCAGUGAACGCAUCGUUAGAACUGUAGAUUCUGUUGGUCAGUGAACGCAUCGUUAGAACUGUAGAUUCUGUUGGUCAGUGAACGCAUCGUUAGAACUGUAGGUUCUGUUGGUCAGUGAACGCAUCGUUAGAACUGUAGAUUCUGUUAGAACUGUACGUUCUGUUGGUCAGUGAACGCAUCGUUAGAACUGUAGAUUCUGUUAGAACUGUAGGUUCUGUUGGUCAGUGAACGCAUCGUUAGAACUGUAGGUUCUGUUGGUCAGUGAACACAUCUUUAGAACUGUAGGUUCUGUUGGUCAGUGAACACAUCGUUAGAACUGUAGGUUCUGUUGGUCAGUGAACACAUCGUUAGAACUGUAGGUUCUGUUGGUCAGUGAACACAUCGUUAGAACUGUAGGUUCUGUUGGUCAGUGAACACAUCGUUAGAACUGUAGGUUCUGUUGGUCAGUGAACACAUCGUUAGAACUGUAGGUUCUGUUGGUCAGUGAACACAUCGUUAGAACUGUAGGUUCUGUUGGUCAGUGAAGGCAUCGUUAGAACUGUAGGUUCUGUUGGUCAGUGAACGCAUCGUUAGAACUGUAGGUUCUGAACCCGGUUCUGU